UAAAACCGAUUCUGCAGUUGCAGAGCAGAUUCAGCAGUUCGAACCGGUGGAGAAAAUCCAGAUCAGCUCUGAAAUAUUCCAACAUGGCUCCAUUUUCACUCCUUCAAAACUCUUUGAGCAGCUGAACCCGGUCAGCGCCGGUCGCCCCGAUUCCCUCCGAAUAAUGAGGCGCCGAAAAUAACUGGACAAACCGGCCGACAGGAAGCCCGAUAUCCGACUGAGAGCCUGAGACACUGCAAAAACUCAAUCGUAGAAAUUACACCGGCUAAUCAAAGCUUUGAUGUCGGAGGUCAGAGGGGAGGAUCUGUUUCACCGGGUUCAGGGAUCUGUCAAAGAAAUCCACCAGCAUGGAGCAAAAAUGAAAAAGCUUCAGAUCUGCUGAGCAGAAACCAGACGAGGUUUAAUCUCCAGGCCAUCGAUUAAAUCAACAGGUGAAGAUUCGUUUACUGUCAGAUCACUGAUAAAUUAUUGAUCCCAACAAAGAGAAAGAAAUACGAAAAAACGGGAACGACAAGAGAAACUCGCAAAGGAAACUAAAUUUUGUUUAUAUUUUAAGUGGAAUCGUUUAAUUUCACUAUCAGGCCUGAAAUCUGGGAGUAGUGAUGAACUUUGACCUGAACCUUCAGAACCACAUAGAGACGGUUACAAAGUCGGCCUUUUAUCACCUGAAGAACAUUUCCAGAAUUAAAGGAAGAUCUGCUUCAGUA